AUGCUUACCUGGCAGGGGAUAUACCAUGAUCACGGCUUAUCCAUUGCACUCCAGGUGUGCUGACCCCUGUUUUUUCUCCAAAUGUGGGGAACUCUACUGCAUAAUUUUGUGGUAACAGGGGAUGCAUUCAUGCUCUCUCCUG
rnacentral:snRNA from 1 species